CCACACGACCGUACCGCAAACCGACACUGGUGCGCGAGAUGAGUAUUCUAAGGCGCUUGAGAGAACUCUGGAGAAGGAACUCGGCAAAUUGACACCGUAACUUCGGAAGAAGGUGUGCCUUUAGUAGGUGAAGUCCCUCGCGGAUGGAGCCCAAUGAGGUUGCAAAAAAUCGGUGGCUGCGACUGUUUAAUAAAAACACAGCACUCUGCAAAGACGAAAGUCGACGUAUAGGGUUACGCCUGCCCGGUGCUGGAAGAUUAAAUGAUGGGGUGCAAGCUCUUGAUUGAAGUCCCAGUAAACGGCGGCCGUAACUAUAACGGUCCUAAGGUAGCGAAAUUCCUUGUCGGGUAAGUUCCGACCUGCACGAAUGGCGUAACGAUGGCCACACUGUCUCCUCCAGUGACUCAGCGAAGUUGAAAUGUUUGUGAUGAUGCAAUCUCCCCGCGGAAAGACGGAAAGACCCCAUGAACCUUUACUGUAGCUUUGUAUUGGACUUUGAACAGAUCUGUGUAGGAUAGGUGGGAGGCUUUGAAGCAGGGUCGCUAGAUCUUGUGGAGCCAACGUUGAAAUACCACCCUGGUGUGUUUGAGGUUCUAACCUAGGUCCAUUAGCUGGAUCGGGGACAGUGCAUGGUAGGCAGUUUGACUGGGGCGGUCUCCUCCCAAAGCGUAACGGAGGAGUUCGAAGGUACGCUAGGUACGGUCGGACAUCGUGCUAAUAGUGCAAUGGCAUAAGCGUGCUUAACUGCGAGACUGACAAGUCGAGCAGAUGCGAAAGCAGGACAUAGUGAUCCGGUGGUUCUGUAUGGAAGGGCCAUCGCUCAACGGAUAAAAGGUACUCUGGAUAACAGGCUGAUACCGCCCAAGAGUUCAUAUCGACGGCGGUGUUUGGCACCUCGAUGUCGGCUCAUCUCAUCCUGGGGCUGUAGCCGGUCCCAAGGGUAUGGCUGUUCGCCAUUUAAAGAGGUACGUGAGCUGGGUUUAAAACGUCGUGAGACAGUUUGGUCCCUAUCUUCCGUGGGCGCUGCAGAUUUGAGGAAGCCUGCUCCUAGUACGAGAGGACCGGAGUGGACACACCUCUGGUGUAUCGGUUGUCACGCCAGUGGCAUUGCCGAGUAGCUAAGUGUGGAAGAGAUAACCGCUGAAAGCAUCUAAGCGGGAAACUCGUUUCAAGAUGAGAUCUGCCGGGGCCUUGAGCCCCCUAAAGAGUCGUUCAAGACCAGGACGUUGAUAGGUCAGGUGUGGAAGCGCAGUAAUGCGUUAAGCUAACUGAUACUAAUUGCUCGUGCGACUUGACCU
rnacentral:rRNA from 1 species